rnacentral:rRNA from 1 species
AUACGUAGGGGGCGAGCGUUGUCCGGAAUGAUUGGGCGUAAAGGGCGCGUAGGCGGCCCGGUAAGUCUGGAGUGAAAGUCCUGUUUUUGAGAUGGGAAUUGCUUUGGAUACUGUCGGGCUUGAGUGCAGGAGAGGUAAGUGGAAUUCCCAGUGUAGCGGUGAAAUGCGUAGAGAUUGGGAGGAACACCAGUGCGAAGGCGACUUACUGGACUGUAACUGACGCUGAGGCGCGAAAGUGUGGGGAGCAAACAGGAUUAGAUACCCUGGUAGUCCACACUGUAAACGAUGAAUGCUAGGUGUAGGGGGUAUCGACCCCUUCUGUGCCGCAGUCAACACAAUAAGCAUUCCGCCUGGGGAGUACGGCCGCAAGGUUGAAACUCAAAUGAAUUGACGGGG